ensembl:lincRNA
AUGUUUUCCUUUUUAAUAAACAGUGGGGCAUGCCAGAACGGUCCGCGGCCGUCUGCCGACGCUGGGGACUGGGGAGGGUGUACUGGUAGGCAUCUGAGCUUCUAUUUUCUUGUUCUACUCAGCCAUGCCCGGAAUGCCUUCACCUUGGGAUGCCUCAUCUUGGUCCCACGCGACCAGCUUCUCCUUCUUUUGGUAAAAUCAAGUGACCCUCUCUUCGGCCAGUUUCUACACAUCUCAAAGCCCCAGAGCCCUGGAACUCCGCAACCAGCCAGUUACCUCAGAGGCUCAACCUUGCCCCCAUGGAUGUUUCCUCCUCUCCCUUGCCUUAAUUCACUCAUUCAUCCAAUACUGGUUGAAUGAUCAUGAGGACUGUUGUUUUGAUGCUGAGGAGACAACGGUGGACAAAAUAAACUGACUCCUACCUUCCAUCCUUGUAGCGAGAGAGCGAGCACCUAACAUCUAGGAUGUCACAUGUGGUUAGUGCUGUGAAGAAAAAUACAGUAGGGUUAGGGGAGACGGAAUGAUGGUGUGGGGGCAGUGUGGCUAUUCUACAUAGGGAAGGGAAAAAAGUGCUUCAAAUAGAGGGGAGCCACGUGCCUCUGUGGGGGAAGGGCUACGGAGGAGCCACAGAGGGGCCAGUGUGACCCGUGGGGUGCGCGAGGGGUGAGUGUGAGGGGGGAGGUAGGAAGGCAUGCGGAAGCAUUGCGUAUGGGAGCCUGAAGUUCAGCAGAGUGUUAAGGUUGGAAACAAAAAUCAAGGAGUCCUAAAUUUAUAUGUGUAUUAAAAUCACAAAACUAGGUAAGAUCACUUUAAAAGUGAAUAUAAAUAAGGGAAAAGAGAUGUUACAGGGGCGCCUGGGUGGCUCAGUCGGUUAAAGCCUCUGCCUUCGGCCCAGGUCAUAAUCUCAGGGUCCUGGGAUGGAGCCCUUCAUCGGGCUUUCUUCUUGGCAGGGAGCCUACUUCCUCCUCUCUCUCUGCCUGCCUCUCUGCCUACUUGUGAUCUCUGUCUGUCAAAUAAAUAAAUAAAAUCUUAAAAAAAAAAAAAAAAGAUGUUACCGACUAAAUCUUGAGGAUUUCCAAAACUGAGCGGUCUGGAUGCUGAGGCAGAAAAGCAGGUGUGGCUGCUGAUCAUGUCAUUUGGCCUAAGGAGGCCAUCCCUGACCUGGACCAGAGCAGCUGAGGGGAGGGUGGGGAGGAUGGGGAGGAUUCCAGAAGGCAGAGGGCACCAGAGGCAGUGAACAUGCUUGACUCUUUAGAAGAGUUUUGCAAGGGAACAGUGGGCAGUUGAGUUUUCAAGGCAGGAGGAAUUUCGGCAUGUUUCUGUUCUGAUGGGAAUCAUGCAGCAGAGAAUCAUGCAGAGGGAAUCAGUAAUGAUGGGGGG